rnacentral:rRNA from 1 species
UACUUAUAAAAUAUCAGCUUGUCAUAGCCUGAUACUGUCAGAUCUCAGAAGCUAAGCAGGGCCGGACCUGGUUAGUACCUGGAUGUUAGACUGCUGGGAAUACAAGGUGUCACAGUGA